rnacentral:rRNA from 1 species
AGUUUUGAAGGGUUGGGCGGGCGUGCUUACACAUGGGGAGUCGAAGGAUGAAGCCCUUCGGGGUGGAUUUUUGGGGAACGGGUGAGUAACACGUGGGCAAUCUGCCCUUCACUCUGGGACAAGCCCUGGAAACGGGGUCUAAUACCGGAUACCACUCCGGCCUGCAUGGGCGGGGGUUGAAAGCUCCCGCGGUGAAGGAUGAGCCCCCGGCCUAUCACCUUGUUGGUGGGGUAAUGGCCCACCAAGGCGACAACAGGUAGCCCGCCUGAGAGGGCGACCGGCCACACUGGGACUGAGACACGGCCCACACUCCUACGGGAGGCAGCAGUGGGGAAUAUUGCACAAUGGGCGAAAGCCUGAUGCACCGACACCCCGUGAGGGAUGACAGCCUUCUGGUUGUAAACCUCUUUCUCCACGGAAAAAACGAGAGUGACGGUACCUGCACAAAAAACGCCCGCUAACUACGUGCCACCAGCCCCGGUAAUACGUAUGGCGCAAGCGUUGUCCGGAAUUAUUGGGCGUAAAGAGCUCGUAGGCGGCUUGUCACGUCUGAUGUGAAAACCCCAGGCUUAACCUCGGGUCUGCAUUCUAUACAGGCUAGCUAGAGUGUGGUAUGGGAGAUCGGAAUUCCUGGUGUAUCGGUGAAAUGCGCACAUAUCACGAGGAACACCCGUGGCGAAAGCGGAUCUCUGGGCCAUUACUGACACUCAGGAGAGAAAACGUGUGGAGCGAACACGAGUAUAUACCCUGGGUAGUCUACGCCGUAAACAUUGGGAACUAUGUGUUGGGCGACAUUUCUACGUCGUCUGUGCCGCACUAACACAUUAAGUUCUCCGCCCUGGGGGAGUACUAGCCCGCACGGCUAAUAACUCACACGAAGUUGACGAGGGGGCGCGCACAUGCAGCGCAGCAUGAUGGGCUUAGUAGUCU